rnacentral:rRNA from 1 species
UACGGAGGGUGCAAGCGUUAUCCGGAUUCACUGGGUUUAAAGGGUGCGUAGGUGGGUUGGUAAGUCCGUGGUGAAAUCUCCGAGCUUAACUCGGAAACUGCCGUGGAUACUAUCAAUCUUGAAUACUGUGGAGGUAAGCGGAAUAUGUCAUGUAGCGGUGAAAUGCGUAGAGAUGUGGAGGAACACCAGUGGCGAAGGCGACUUUCUGGUCUAUAACUGACACUGAGGCGCGAAAGCGUGGGGAGCAAACAGG